UACUGUGUUUGGCAUCUCUGUUCCAAUGCCAGCAGCCGUUUCGCGACCCACGGCGGACUUGCAUAAACACUUUCUAGUUGGAAUCUCACCCUGCGAGGUGGGCAGGUGGUGAUAUUCCUGUUUGACGCCGACAGAAGUAAGACAGAUUGACUCUCAGAAUCAUGUGGCGGGAUUUUAAAGGGGGAUCUUAGUGGUGGCUCCAGACCCGUGUUUUCUGCUUCUAGCAUGAACUACGUCGUUAAACACUUCUGAAUUUAUUUUGUCUGUGAAAUGGGGAAAAGAUAGCCACCUUGCAUAACUGGUGAAGAAUUCGUAAACAGAAGAAUCUAGUAAGAGGACUGGCCCGUGGUCGGCUCUCAGUGAUGUCACAGAAUAAAGAAAAAAACUGGGAGAGAGAUGGGAGCUGAUAGACCAGAGGAGACCAAAGACUUAAAGUGAAGACUAAACCAUGGGAAAUUGGAGCAAGGACUUAUUUGUUUAGAGGGUGAAAAGAGCGAAUUUGCCUACAGGGCAAAUCUGGAAGCAGCUCUCCCUGGAAGCCAGUCAAAGAAGAGCCAUUGGAGGAUUUUAAACCAGGAACCGAAAAUAGAGUCUGAAAAUAGAGGCGCAGAGACUGGUCAACCGCAAUGAAGACCAAUCCAUUUGACCUCCAUCCUGGCUCAUCUCCUCUGUGUUCUCAUAGCAUCGUAUUACAGAAUGGAUCACAAACACCUCUGCAGUUGCCUACUUAUUUGUCCAUUUCUCCCUCCAGACUGCCUUUGUGAGAAAAACACCCAGAUGCCACAAGUGCAUCCCCAGGGAGCUGCAGGGUGGCAGGAGCCGAGGAUGCAAAAACAUAACUGCCUUCUAUCUACUCUGAUUUGAGCCUCAUCAAAUCCUUUGGCUCCCAAGGUAUUCUGCAGCAGAUGUGUGCACAAUAUUCCAGCACUGGGACUUGUGUCUGCGGGUUCUGCUGGGGGCCCAAGAGUCUGAGGGUCUGCAAAGCCUCCAAGCCCUUCCCCUUCCUCCCAGGCCUCAGGGCCUGCGCUGGCCACCCUCCUAUACAGCCCUUACUUGGCAUUCUUGCUAAGUUCUUUGGGGGCUCCAACCUUGACUCUUUUCAUUCCACGCUGAUUUCUUCUGGGCUCUGCGCCUUGGGGGAGAACUUGCAAUGCUAGUAAUAAACAAAGAGCGCUCAUGAU